UCAUGGCUUGCUUGGUGGGAAUAACCGAUACCCCUGUGGGGCUGGAAGCGUGGAAGAGAAAGAGGAGGCCAAAGGAGACGACAGAUAACUCUUGCCACACCUAUCCUGUGUCAGGCAGCUUGAUAAUGACCAAGGCCACGAGGCAGAUCCCACUCUGGUAAACUCCCAGUUCUCGGGUCAGUAGAGGGCGAAUGCUCGGUUCCGUCUUUCCCGCAGCCUGUGUUCACACUCAAGGGAUGUUUCCAGCAGGUCUUGCCUUUACACAUCAUCCACGUGCAGCUGUGUUUUCUGGAUGAGGCCGUGGGGAGCCGGUUUAUGCCAGAUGCUCCCGCCUGACACCCAGAGUCUCGCCUUCUGUCUUGUUUGCCAAGAGAACAGGCAAAGGCAGCUUUCACGUCCAGGGACCUCUUUUCCUGCCUCCCUAACACUAGCCUUCUAAAAAAUUCAUCAAGAAAUCAAAAUAAAAUCAAUGCCUUGCACGCCG